rnacentral:rRNA from 1 species
CUAACUGGAGGACCGAACCGACUAAUGUUGAAAAAUUAGCGGAUGACUUGUGGCUGGGGGUGAAAGGCCAAUCAAACCGGGAGAUAGCUGGUUCUCCCCGAAAGCUAUUUAGGUAGCGCCUCGUGAACUCAUCUCCGGGGGUAGAGCACUGUUUCGGCAAGGGGGUCAUCCCGACUUACCAACCCGAUGCAAACUGCGAAUACCGGAGAAUGUUAUCACGGGAGACACACGGCGGGUGCUAACGUCCGUCGUGAA